UCUUUCUUGAUUCUGUGGGUGGUGGUGCAUGGCCGUUCUUAGUUGGUGGGUUGCCUUGUCAGGUUGAUUCCGGUAACGAACGAGACCUCAGCCUGCUAAAUAGUCAGCAUCGCACCUGCGGUGCGCAGACUUCUUAGAGGGGACUAUUGGCGUUCAGCCAAUGGAAGUAUGAGGCGAUAACAGGUCUGUGAUGCCCCUUAGAUGUUCUGGGCCGCACGCGCGCUACACUGACGCGUUCAACGAGCCUAUCCCUUGGCCGAAAAGGCCCCGGGUUAUUCUUGUAAACCGCGUCGUGAAUGGGAAUAGAUUAUUGCGAAUUAUUAGUCUUCAACGAAAAAUGCCUAGUAAGCGCAGUCAUCAGCUCGCGUUGAUUACGUCCCUGCCCUUUGUACACCCGCCCGUCGCUCCUACCGAUUAAUGUGCUGUAAGUUUCGAGUAACUUGUUAGGCGACUGACCUGUUGCAAGUCAUUACUCCUCUUUGAAAAGAAAUUUUACCCGC
rnacentral:rRNA from 1 species